rnacentral:rRNA from 1 species
GACGGAGGAUGCAAGCGUUAUCCGGAAUUAUUGGGCGUAAAGCGUCCGCAGGCGGACAUACAAGUCUGCUGUCAAAGUGCAGAGCUUAACUCUGUAAAGGCGGUGGAAACUGUAGGUCUUGAGUAUGGUAGGGGUAGAGGGAAUUCCCGGUGUAGCGGUGAAAUGCGUAGAUAUCGGGAAGAACACCAGUGGCGAAAGCGGUCUACUGGGCCAUAACUGACGCUGAGGGACGAAAGCUAGGGGAGCGAAAGGG